AACCUUGAGAGUCUUCCUGUGAGCAUUUACAAUUUGAGCUCUCUCAAAACUUUGGGGAUUACAAAUUGUCCAAAACUCGAGGAAAUGUUAGAGAUUAAAUUAGGGGUUGAUUGGCCAUUUUCACCUCUAACCUGUCACAUUUCAAAUUCAGCAAUAACCUGGUAUGAUGACUGGCAUGACUGCUUUUCCUCAUUAGAAGCAUUAAACCCACAGUGCCCCCUGUCAUCACUGGUAGAAUUAUCUGUAAGAAAGUUUUAUGGCAUGGAAGAAGACAUCCUCAGUGGCAGUUUCCACCUAUCCUCAUUGCAAAUAUUAUCUCUAGGGAACUUCCCUAGCGUGGCAGAAGGAAUCCUCGAUAAGAUUUUCCAUCUAUCCUCGUUGGUAAAAUUAUCUCUUACUAAAUGCAAGCCAACGGAAGAAGGAAUCCCUGGUGAUAUUUGGAACCUAUCUCCACUGCAACAAUUAUCUCUACGUGACUGCAAUCUAAUGGAAGGAAAGAUCCUCAAUCAUAUUUGCCAUCUAACAUCCUUGGAAGAAUUAUAUCUGGGUUGGAACCAUUUUAGUAGCAUACCUGCUGGCAUCAGUCGACUUUCUAAUCUAAAGGCCCUUGACUUGAGUCAUUGCAAGAACCUUCAACAAAUUCCAGAGCUUCCAUCAAGUCUACGAUUUUUAGAUGCGCACUGUUCGGAUGGUAUUUCAUCAAGCCCCUCGCUUCUACCUAUUCAUUCUAUGGUCAAUUGCUUCAAAUCAGAAAUUGAGGUAUGAUUCUCAUGCCACGUUCCUCUUUCUUUUGUACCCAUUGAAUUUACAUGGUGCUUUUGUGCAGGACCGCAAGGUUAUUAAUCAUUAUUCUUACUUCUGGGGCAAUGGAAUUGGUAUUGUUAUUCCUAGAAGUAGUGGAAUUCUAGAGUGGAUAACAUAUCGGAAUAUGGGAAGGAAUGAAGUAACAGUAGAGCUCCCUCCGAAUUGGUAUAAAAAUGAUGACUUGUGGGGAUUUGCUUUAUGCUGUGUUUAUGUUGCACCUGCCUAUGAAUCUCAGUAUGAAUUAGGUCAUAUAUCUAAGGAUGACGCUGAACUUGAAGAUGAAGGACCAGGGUUCUGUUGUGAUUUGAGUAUCGAAGGAAAUAAUCAAUCAGGAGACGUGGGUUUUUUCCUUCUUUAUUCUUGCUGUGUUAAAUAUGAUGUGUCAGAUAUGCAGUGGGUGAUAUGUUAUCCCAAGUUAGCUAUUGAGGAAAGUUAUCACACCAAUCAAUGGACACACUUCAAGGCUUCAUUUGGUGGUGCCCAAGUGGAAGAGUGCGGAAUCCGUCUUGUAUACACAGAAGAUUAUGAACAGAAGCAUCCAGCAAUGGCACAAGGCAGUACUUCUCAUGGGAAUUUUGGUGAGCAUGGAUCGGUAAGAGAAGAUACUGAUAGUAAGCUCACAAUAAAAGGAAUCCCACAGAACAGAGCCCAAGAGAGGAGUCACACCAUAAAAGAUCCAUAGAAACCCAAGACUGAUCCCAAGUAUUAGGCUCAACCACACUUGCAUCACUAAUGCUAUCUUUACUGGUAAUUCAUCUUCCUUUCUCUUUCUAAUUCAAAGGUCAGAAUUUUUUUUUAUCGUGUUUCUCCUUUUUAUUUGUCUUUUUCCCCAAGACAAACAAAACUUUGAGGCUAUCACCCAUGGGCGCAAACUUCAAUGGUACACCUCCCAAGUUUGUUUUUCUCUCUCUCCAACCGUCUUUCCCUAGAUUUUUCUGCAUUUUCUUCAAACCCAUAUUUCCAUAUGAAAUUCAAUUACAUUCGAGCAUUUCAAUCUCUGUAGCUACUGUCUGAAUCAUUUAUAGGGUUUCUUUUUUCUGGAAGUUUGUAAUGUUAUUGAUUUAAGACUUCAUGUUUGGGGAUGUUUUGGGUGGCUUGUUCACUGGUAUUAAUUGUGAUAAUUGCAGCUCUGGUGCUUUCAAUGACUUUGACAAUAGUCGAAACUAUGUUGAAUGCUUGUACCAAGGGAAUGGACUUCAGUUGCUCUAGGGUUAGUGCUAUAACAUCAGUAUUCACUCUUCAAGAAUGUAUAUAGUUGUUGUUUUGGAAUUUUGAAAUUACUUAGCAUCAGACAAUUUCUAACUCGGGAUUUGGAUUGGGAACCAUAAGUUAUCAUUAGAGAGUGUAUGAGAAGGAAUUUUAGAGUGAGAUGGGUGAUGCAUGUUGAGGGAUGAAAGAGGGAUGUAUCUCACCCUAGAGUUCUUUGGAAUAAUUAUAGGAUUUUGUAAGUAACUUUGGACUUACUUGCAAUGUUCUGGAUUUGUGAAUAAUUUAUAGAAUGCAUUGGGUUUUUUUUUUUUGUUUUUUUUUUUGGUCCAUAAGAAACUAAAAGAACUUUGAGAGUGAAUAAUGUAUGACUGUACUCUUCUCUAUCUCUCUGGUCAUAGCACACGUAUGAUUUGGUACUUUUUUGCAGGCUUCAACAGCAGCAAAGCAUCUGGUGGCUUGCAGUACUAAUCUUACAUUAUAUUCUCUGUUUUGCAAUCAUUUGGUACUUUUUGUCCCAACCAAGGAUAGCUCUGUGCAACAGUCUCGACUGUGGAACAAGUAAAACAAAUGGUACCUGCUGAAGCUGAGAGGGCAGAUAAUAAAUUGGUGCGGAAGGUGGUCAACCAAAAGAAUCAGACAGCAAAAACUAAAAAAGCCGAUGAAGCCUGCUACUGAAGCAGUCUCAGCACCUGUUUCUAGGAGGGGUGAGAUUGAAGUGACUGAAGAAAAGGAGCGUGAGCAAACAAAGAAGGAAGAGGAGUUGGCCAGGAAGGUAGAGGAAUUGAGAAGUGAAGAGGAAGCAGCCAUGUUGAAGGAGAAAAGUCUGUUGGAGGAGAAAGCCAACGUUAAGAAGGCAUUGGAAAGGAAACAAGGAACUGCAGAAAAGGCCAAUUUCUCUGUGAGUGCUGCCACCUUUUCGUGAUACAGCCAUAAUAAUGGAUGUUAAAAGCAGUCUAACUCUACAUGGCGUUUAUUUUCCCCAGCCAUAGAUUGGAAUCUGCCAGUCUGACUCUCAUAAGAAAGAAAAUUUUCCAUCGAUCCUCGUAUGGAUUAUUGGAGAAGAUUUUAACAUGGAGUUCACAAGAGAGUUUCUAACACCCACUUAAAAGGACAUUUUAGAAAACUUAUUGAAAAAUAACAUGAGAGUACAUAAAUUUUUAGAUAUUUUUAAAAAUAUUUGAAAAUUUAAAUUAACUAAAAGUAUUUGAAAAAUAUUUGAUUGAAUUAACAAAUAUCAAGUAUUUGCAUAUGAAAAAAUAAUAAACAUUGUGAAGAAUUUUUUUAUUAAUUAGUGCAUAAUAAUUUUAUUUUCCUUUUAAUCACAAAUUAAUCUAUGGCAAAAUCUCAUAUUUGUUGUAGGGACAAUGUUGUCUUACAUUUUUCUUUCAUGAUGGACUCAAAUUUUAAUUUAAAUGUAGUAUAAAUAUAUAAUUAGAUUGAAAUUUCGUCCACUAAGAUUGAUUGGGUAUGAAUUUGAACCCUCGUUCGGGUCAUACUUCCAUCCAAUCCAAGCUUGUGGUUGGGCUUGAAUUUCUUGGCCCAACCAGUAAUGUCAUUGACCAAUAGCCCUUAGUUUGGGCUGGGCUUGAUGGUCCUCAGGCUAUGCAGACUUAAUACUCAUUGGGUUUGGGAUUCCAUGUAGUUGUAAUUAGAUUCUAUGUUUCCUAAUAUUAACACUAAAUUAGGUUUAAUUUAUAAUUAAAUAUAAUUAGAAGAGGAAAAUGAAAUAUCAUAUCCUUGCAAUGAGUUAUGUGGAUAUUUCAUUUAAAAAGUCUAAUGUGAAAGGUUGUUAUGGGUAGUCGUUUUUUGAUGCAAAUUUUCUAUGGAGUCCUAAUCUUAGAAGGCAAUAGAAAAUUCACAACCAAGAUUUCUUAAAAAUAACUACAUUAAAGUGUAAACAAAAUAUCAAACUAGAAUUUCUUAGAAAUAUCAAACUAGAAAGUGAAAUAUAAUACAAUUCAAGUAUGAAAAUGAAGGACAAAAGAAUAGACCAAAUUUGAAAGACCGUUCAAAGACUCGUUUCUUGUUACAAUCCAAUCAUGACUUCCACUAGUAGAGAUCCUCUUCUUCUUCUUCUUCUUCUAAUUCCAAAUUGAGGGACCAUGCGUUCUUGAGUACCCUCAAAAGCUUUUUUGAUCAUUUAUACUGUAUAACCUUACUUGUAAUAACUGUAUAAGAUAUUUGUGCUAAUUGAUAAGAUAUUUGUGCUAAUUGUAUAAAACAUGUCCUUAUACAUCUUGAAUUUAUAAAUUUAUGAAUUUAUGAAUAACCCAAUAAUCAAUGACUUCUUAAUAAAAUUUUUUUAAUUUUGUUGCCUUAAAAGUCAUGUCCCUCCUUUACAAAGCUUCUUAGAAAUUUCAUAUAUUUUUUUUUGUCAUCAUCUAUAUUUCAUAUUUCUUUUUCGUCUUCAAUAUUUGUGUAUAUAUCUAAAAUAAAACCUAUAAGAAAAUGAAAAAUUUACACUUAAAAAGUGUUUAUUUGAAAUUUAGGCAAUGAACUUAAAGGAGUUUGGAAUUACUCCUCGAAGUUGAUAUGUUUGUUUUAAAAUCAAAGUGGAUUUCAAUUUUCUUUAAAUCCACGUUAUGAUAUUACGGUAAUAUGUAGUGUCUUUAAAACCAUGGCUUCCUCUAGCAAUUCUAAGAGACCCUUUUACUCUUCUUCUUCUUCUAAUUCUAAAUGGAGGUACGAUGUGUUCUUGAGUUUCAGAGGCGAGGAUACCCGCAACAACUUUACUAGUCAUCUCUACAAGGCUUUGGAUCAUGCCAACAUUGAAACCUUCAAAGAUGAUAAAGAACUUCGAAGGGGAGACGAGAUUGCACCCGAGCUCCUAAAAGCUAUUGAAGGAUCAAGGAUUGCCCUUAUUAUCUUCUCGAAAACCUAUGCUCAUUCCAAGUGGUGCUUGGAUGAACUCGUCAAGAUCAUGGAGUGCAAGGAAGAAAAGGGACAAAAGGUUUUUCCUAUUUUCUAUCAUGUAGAGCCGUCUGAAGUCAGGAAACAGACUGGGAUUUAUGGAGAAGCAUUUAACAAUCACGAGAGCAAUGCAGACGAGGAGAAGAAGAAGAAGAUAGAGAAGUGGAGGACUGCCUUAUGGAAAGCCGGUAAUUUGAGUGGAUUUCCUCUGCAGGAUAGGUAAUCCCUACAUCGCUUUUUCCAUUUCCCAUUUUCUGUCAGUUUAUUUUCAUUCUUCUUAAUAAAUAAAAUAUUUAUGAUUACAUAUAUCAAUCAAAAUCCAUUUUUAAGUAGUAGACAUUGAUUAAUAUGUUUGAUUUCUUGGAAAGUAAUAAGAAGAGUUAAAAAAAAAUGAUUUUCUUAUAUUUAAUUUAUUAUUAAAAAUAUGAAAGAAAAUAAAAUAUAAUUUAAAUACAUUGGAAAACUAUAAUAGGAAUAAUAUUAGAUAAUGUAUGAUAGCUGUUGUGGGCUCAUUCAGUCACAGCAGGUGAUAACAGUCAAUAAAAUAAAAUAAUUAUCCCAAAUGCCAAGUUUUGAAUUGUUAAAAAUUCUUAAGAUUCCAAAAUGUUCUUAGUUUCUAAUCAAUCCAUUUCAGCCAUAAUUUCUAUCAAUUUAAAAAGAUGGUAGUUUGUCAAAUAAAUUGUUAAAAUUGCUUAUUUAUAUGCUUUGUAAAUUUGGAGGUAAUCUAGGAUGAUUAUUUAGAAAAUUGUAAUACUGCCUUAAAUUUUUCUAGACCCCUCUUAUGGGACAAAAAACUUAGUUAUUAAACCCUUUACCUUUUUCAAUUUUUGAGGAAUUUUCUAUUACUAAAAUAAUUUUCUCAUAUUCUCUAUGAACUACAUGAGUUUACAUUUCUUCUUUCCUUAAUAUUGUUUCUUCCUUUAUAUUUGCAAGUUGAUAAUCAAAUUUAUUUGCCUUUUAAUCUAUUGUUUGUAUCUCGUUUUAUUCUAAUUUUCCAUGACAUCAAGAUAAUUAAUCUCAUCUUAAGACCUUGUCUUUCACAUUGAAUCAUCUAAUGCUAAAAUUAUUCUCUUGCUAUUCUACUUUGUGUACUCAUGGGAUUGAUAUAUUGCAAUCGAAAUUGCAUUUUUUUUUCUCUUUUUCUCUAGUAUGUUCUACAUUCCUCUAUGCCUCAAUUACAAAUAAAAGCAAGUAACCUUAGAGCUUGUUUGACAGUAUUUUUGAAAAUAAUGUUCAAAAAAUAGUUUUCCCCUAGCCAAUUUUGAAAAUAAUGAACAAAAUUUUACUUGAAAAUUCAAAUAUGAAAAAUGUCUUUCUCGACUUAUUAACUAUGAAGGUACUAUAAAUUUAUGUACAAUUUAACAAUUCUCUAAUUAUUAUCUACAUUUUCAAUUUUUGAUCACAAUACUCUAUAAGAAAAUACCUUAAAACAUCUCAAAUGUGCUCUUAAAGAUGAACUUGUUUACCGAACAAAUUUUUGAAAAUAAUUUUUAGUAAAAAUGAAAAUUAAAUAUAUAUUUAAGUUAUAAAACUAUUUUAUAUUCUAAAGAAAAAAAUCUAUUUUCAAAAACAAUAUCUAUACAAGCAUUUUUCUUUUAAGUAUCAUUUUAAAAUCUUUUUCCAUGACUCUUAUUAUUGCUAGGCUUUUGACCAACAAACAAACAUGUGUCACUUUCCUUGUCAUUCUAAUUUAUAUUUGGGAAAAAAAUGGGGAUUUCAUCAAAAUAUGAAACUUAUGUAGCAAUUAUUAGCAACCUAAAUAUAAAUAGAACUAAAGUGAAAAUUUACUUGUUUACAAAAUAAAUAGUUGAAAGUCUUAUAAGCAUAGAGGAUGGUCAUAAGUCAUGGUGUAAUUAAUAAAAGCAUUGCUAGGUUAUGGAACUUGGGUGACAAAUUGGUAGAUUUCUAGCCAAACUAGUACUGGUCUCUAUAAUAAAAUCUCUUAUCAUAAAGGAUAAUGAUACUUUAGAAAGGUCAACUUCAAUUUGGACCUUUAGAAGCAAUUGAGAUAUUUUCAUUAUUUUAUUGAACAUAUACUUGACAUAACAUAAUGAAAUUUUAUUUAAACAUGCGACUCAACACAUUUUUAAUUUACAUUCUAUUUGACCUUAAUUUAGUUGCAUUGAAUGAAACAAAACACCAUUCUAUUAUUUCCAUUUACUUCAUCUUUGUUUUCUUUGGCAAUUCAUUCUAACUCACUGCAUGUUUUAUUAUACUUUAUAAUGGACAGCCCUGAGUCAGAGUUUAUUGAAGAAAUCAUUGGUGAGAUUCGAAGAUUAAUUCCUAAGUUGGUACAUGUUGGUGAGAACAUAGUUGGAAUGGAUGAAAAUUCGAAAGAAGUGAAGUUAUUGAUAGACUCCCAAUCAAAUAAAGUGAGUAUGGUUGGGAUUUAUGGGACUGGUGGGAUUGGUAAAACUACCAUCGCCAAGGUUGUUUACAAUGGUCUGUUAGAUCAAUUUAAGCGUCACAGCUUUCUUGAAAAUGUGAGAGAGAAAUCUAAAGAUGAUCCUGGUUUGCUUGAAUUACAAAAAAAACUUCUUUAUGAUAUCCUCAUGGAGAAAGAUUCGAAGAUAAGUAAUAUUGGUGAAGGAAUAAAAGAGAUAAAGAGUAAGUGUUGCUUUGAAAAGGUUCUUAUUAUUCUUGAUGAUGUAGAUUGUCUAAGACAGUUAGAAUUCUUAGCUCCUAAUUCUGAAUGUUUUCAUCGAGGAAGCAUAAUCAUCGUGACCACAAGAAAUAAACGUUGCCUAGAUGUACAUAAGUCAUAUUCAUCAUAUGAGGCUAAGGGAUUAGCACAUGAGCAAGCUAAGGAGCUCUUUUGUUGGAAUGCCUUUAAGCAACACCAUCCAAAAGACAAUUAUGUGGACCUCUCUAAUCGUAUACUGGAUUAUGCUAAAGGCCUUCCAUUGGCUCUUGUAGUUUUGGGUUCUUUUCUUUAUAAAAGGGGUGUGGAUGAAUGGGAAAGCACAUUGCAUAAACUAAAAACAACCCCUUUCAAGGAUAUUCAAAAUGUGCUCCAGAUAAGUUAUGAUGGACUAGAUGAUAUAUGCAAGAAGUUGUUCCUUGAUAUUGCGUGCUUCUUCAAAGAUCACAAUAAAGAAUUUGUUACAAGUAUACUAGAAGGUUGUGAUCUCCAUCCCAAGAUUGGACUAAAAGUUCUUGAUGAGAGGUGUCUCAUUUCUAUAUUGGGUGGCACUAUAAGGAUGCAUGACUUGUUACAAGAAAUGGGUUGGGCAACAGAUUGUGGGAAUAUGAGGAUAUUAAAAGUGUCUUUACAAAAAAUAUGGUAAGAGAAAAAUAUAUGAAUAUACUUGAGAUCUAGAUCUAAAGACAAAAGAUUCAACAGUCUUUAUUUUUAUUAUUAUUAUAGUUUGAGUACCUUAUCUAUAUAAUUUUAAUGAAUCCCUAUGCAUCUUAUACUGCUUAUUCUCAAUGCGUGUUUUCAGGGGACAAAAAACAUUGAGGGGAUAUUCAUAAAUUGUACUAAAGCAAAACCUAUACAAUUUACUGCUGAAGCUUUCAAAAAGAUGAAUCGACUUAGAUUACUCAAAGUUGAAGAGGAUAUGGUGCAGCUUUCCCAAGACUUUGAAUUGUCUUGUCAUGAUUUAGUAUAUUUUCAUUGGGUUGCAUACCCUUUAGAAUCUUUGCCAUCAAAUUUUCAUGCUGACAGUCUCGUUGAACUCAACCUCCAGUACAGCAACAUAAAACAUCUUUGGGAAGGAAACAUGGUAUUGCUAUUAUUUAGUUAUACUUUUGCUCUAGACUAAUUUUAAGGUCUUUUGAAGUUUACUUAUUGAAACAAACUAUCUUCUGUUACAGCCUGCUAAAAAGUUAAAAGUCAUUAAUCUUCGGCAUUCCAAGCAUCUGGUUGAUAUUUCAAGCAUCUCAAGUGCGCCAAAUUUGGAGAUUUUAAUUCUAGAAGGUUGUACAAGGUUACUCAAGUGUUUCACCCAUGCCUAAUGUUACUAUUAGUCAUUAACUAACUGUUUUCUUGGAUAUAAUAGGGUGCAUAAGACUUGAGAGUCUUCCAAGGAACCUUCAUACAUUGUGAAGAAUUUCUGAACUCCUUUAUUGAUAUUUUAUCGGUACACACCAUACACAUAUAUAUACACAUAUAUAUACACAAAUGACUGAAUAAGAAAGAAUCAAUCUAGCUUAAUUCUCUCCUAAAAUUAGGAAACUAAAUCAUAAGGAAAUAUCCUAAAUGAUCUCUCAUUUUUUAUUCCUAAAUUAAAGUCCUAACUUUGGCAUUAUUUCAACACUCCCCCUCAAGCUGGAGAAUAUAUAUCAUAUAAUCCCAGCUUGCAAGUUAAGUCUUCGAAGUUAGGCCUAGGUAAAGCUUUGGUGAGGAUGUCUGCGGUUUGGUGCUUGGUAGGAACAUAGUUCAAUUUGACCGUCUCACUAGUCACCUUCUCUGUGAUAAAGUGUCUGUCAAUCUCAACAUGCUUGGUCCUGUCAUGAUGCACGGGGUUCUUUGCUAUGCUUAUAGCUGCCUGAUUAUCACACAUCAUCUGAAUUGGAGAUGAACUCGUUUGUCCCAGUUCACUAAGAACCCUUUUUAUCCAAAUCCCUUCACAGAUUCCCUGUGCAAGAGCUCUGUACUCAGCUUCUGCACUACUUCUGGCUACAACUGAUUGCUUCUUACUCCUCCAGGUAACAAGAUUUCCCCAGACAAAAGAACAAUAUCCGGAAGUGGACCGCCUGUCAAUGAUGUUUCCUGCCCAAUCCGCAUCUGAGUAUACUUCAGUGUCACGGUUCUCUGUCUUUCUGAAGAAUAGGCCUUUCCCUGGUGUCAUUUUUAAAUAUCUAAGAAUCCUGUAGACUGCUUCCAUGUGUUCCUCAGUGGGGCUGUGCAUGAAUUGACUUACAACACUCACUGCAAAGCCAAUAUCUGGCCGAGUGUGUGAGAGAUAAAUCAAGCGCCCGACAAGCCGCUGAUAUCUCCCCCUGUCUACUGGUGUACUUUCUUUCUCGAUACCAAGUUUCUUCUGACUAUCCAUAGGAGUAUCAAUUGGUUUGCAUCCAAGCAUACCGGUCUCCUUAAGAAGAUCGAGUAUGUAUUUUCUUUGAGAGACUACGAUUCCCUUCCUUGAUCUAGCCACUUCCAUACCAAGGAAAUAUUUCAAAUUUCCAAGGUCUUUAACUUCAAACUCUUCUGACAAAUACUUCUUCAAAUUCUGUAACUCCCCCAUAUCAUUCCCAGAUAGAAUAAUAUCAUCGACAUAGACUAUCAAUAUGGCCAAUUUCCCGGCAUGAGACUUCUUGACAAAUAGAGUAUGAUCAGCCUGACCUUGUUUGUAGCCCAGCUUCAGGACUGCUUUUGUGAAUCUAUCAAACCAGGCUCGAGGAGAUUGUUUAAGGCCGUACAAGGAUUUUUGGAGUUUGCAAACCUGAUUCUUUGCCAUACUUUCUUCGAAACCAGGUGGUAUUUCCAUGUAGACUUCCUCUUCUAGGUCCCCAUUUAGAAACGCAUUUUUUAUGUCCAGUUGUUGCAAGCACCAAUCUUGAUUGACAGCCAAUGAGAGAAGGAUCCUGAUAGUGUUCAGUUUUGCAACAGGAGCAAAAGUUUCCUGAUAGUCUAUCCCAUAGGAUUGUGUAAACCCUCUAGCUACCAAACGAGCCUUGAAUCUUUCGAAUGAUCCAUCUGCUUUGUAUUUUAUGGUGAAAAUCCACUUGCACCCCACAGGCCUCUUCCCAACCGGCAAAUCUGUGAUAGUCCACGUCCCAUUCUUCUCAAGUGCAUCAAUCUCAUCUUGUACUGCCUUCUUCCAUUCUGAAAUUUUUAAUGCCUCUUGUAUUGUGUUGGGAACCUGAGUAUCAUCAAGAGAAGUAGCAAAUGCUCUGUAAGAUGGUGAUAAUCCUUCAUACGUAACAUAAUUCCCAAUUGGAUGAUCUGUACAUCUCCUAACACCCUUCCUCAAUGCAAUUGGCAAAGUAGAAUCAUCAAUGCUGGGAAUUAACACCUCUCCAUCCCUAUCCUCACCUAUGUUCUCUUCAGGAAGACUUGAAUUGGAGUCAAUAUAUUGGCCACAUGUUGACUGUGAUCCGUGCUCUAAUUCCUGUCUUUUCCUCCUCCUGAUGUAAACUUGUAAGUUCUCAUUAGCAAGUUGUGGGCUAUAGGUUGAAUAGGCAUGGGAGACUGGAUGGUCACGGGAGAAGGAACAUUUGUGUGCUGGGCUGGCUGAACUGAUGGCGGCAUGGGUGUGGACAACUCAGUGGGCGUGAAUUGGGAAGGAUUUGGUGACUCUGAGUGAAAAGAAGGUACACCCUCAAGAAAAGACUCCCAAACUUGAUGUUCAUUCAUGCUCUCCCCCUGAACAUGAGAUUUGGGAUAGAAGAAGACAUGUUCAAAGAAAGAGACGUCCAUGGUGGUGUAAAAUCUUUUGUUGGUUGGAGAAUAGCAUUUGUACCCUUUUUUGGUUGGAGAAUACCCUAGAAAAAUGCACUUAUUUGCUCGAGGAGCAAAUUUGCUACAAUUUUGAGGAUACACAUGAACGAAUGCUGUGCAACCAAAUACUUUGAGUGGUAAAUCAGAAGAGGCGGCAUGGGUGUGAGGAAACUGUUUUAAGAAAAGUUGACGUGGGGAUUGAAAGGUAAGCACUCUGGAUGGCAUACGGUUAAUCAAAUAGGUAGCUGUGAGAAUAGCUUCCCCCCAGAAAUAGUUUGGAACCUUAGAGGAAAACAUAAGGCACCGGGCAACCUCCAAGAGAUGUCUAUUCUUGUGUUCAGCCACCCCAUUUUGUUGUGGGGUGUCAACGCAAGAACUUAUGUGGAUAAUGCCAUGAUUUUGAAGAUAAGUACUGAGACUACUAGUAAAGUAUUCCUUUGCAUUAUCUGACUUGAGGACUUGUAUUUUGGAAUUGAAUUGAUUUUGAACCAUAAGAUUGAAGGUUUGAAAAAUGUGCCCGACCUCUGACUUUUCUUUCAUAAGGAAAACCCAUGUUACCCGAGUAUGAUCAUCAACGAAUGUCACAAACCAUCGAGUGCCAGAAAUAUUUUUUAUCCGGGAGGGACCCCACACAUCACUAUGUACUAGAGAGAAAACAGUCGAAGGUUUGUAUGGGAUUUGAGGAUAUACUGUUCGAGUAUGCUUUGCAAACUGACAAAUUUCACAGUGAUAAGAUGCUGGAUUUUUAUUGAUAAAUAAUUUGGGAAACAAUUUCGCAAGGUAAACAAAGCUAGGAUGACCAAGGCGAUAGUGUAACAUUAUAAUCUUACUAUCUUUAUUGACCUUAGAAUUUGACACAGAAUUGAAAGACUCUGACAUACUCUGAGACUGUACGCAACUUGCUUGAGAGACUUGGUUUGAGAAUUGGCCACAUGAAAGGAGGUAGAGCCCGGAACACAGUUCAGCACUGCCAAUCAUCUUCCCCGAUUUCAAGUCCUGAAAAACACACAAGUUUGGAUAGAAUUUAGUAACACAUUGGAGAUCACGAGCCAAUUGGCUAAUGGACAAAAGAUUACAAUCCAAGUUUGGAACAUGGAGGACAGAGUCAAGAUAUAAGUCUUUAGUAAGUUUUAUAGAACCUGUCCCGGCAAUUUUUGACUUUGAACCAUCAGCAAUAUGGACGGAUGAAUGACCAUUACUUGGCUUGUAAUUUUGAAGAAUGGCAGCAUCUCCUGUCAUGUGAUCAGAAGCACCUGUGUCUACUAUCCACGGCCUCAUUCCUCCUCGAUUAGCAGUGAAGGCUACACCGGUAGUACUGCCGCUGCCAACUUGGCUUAAUAAUUUCUGUAGCCUCUCCAUCUGCUCUUUGUUGAAUGGACUCGGCUCGGGAACAGAUGUGCUCUCAGAGUUGGCAGCCACGUGUGCUCUGCCAUCUCUGUCAAACCGUGGCUUUGGUUUCCAAUCAGCCGGUUUGCCAUGAAGCUUCCAGCAAGUCUCCUUAUAAUGGCCUGGUUUCUUACAAUAAUCACACCAAGGCCUAUCCCGUUUCUGACGAUCUCCACCACUACUAUUAAAUGACCGAGCAGCAAGGGCAGAGGCAUCCAAUGUUGGGGCAGGUUGCUCUUUUGAUCCCAUCAUCACUUUCUUUCUACUUUCUUCACGCCUAACCUCUGAAAAAGCCUCCCUGAGACUUGGCAGGGGUUUAAUGCCCAUGAUUCGGCCUCUAACAUCAUCCAAUUCCCUGUUUAGUCCUAGGAAGAACUUGAACAGUCUCUUUUGUUCCACAAUUUGCCUGUAUGUUGCUGCAUCAUCCGAACAUUUCCAUGAGUGAGUCUCAAAUAAGUCAAGUUGCUGCCAAUACCUUGUGAGUGUGUUGUAAUACUGAGUAACUGACUGCUCUCCUUGGCGGAAGUCAUGUAGAGCUGAUUCAACCUGAAACAGUUCUGAAGUAUUUUCAGAACUUGAGUAAGUUUCUUUGGCUGCAUCCCAUAUGUCCUUUGCAGUCCCAAACAACAAGAAAUUUUCGCCUAUGUCAUUGUUCAUGGAAUUGAUAAGCCAUGACAUGAUCAUGCUGUUUUCAAUCUUCCACUUCCUAAAACCCGGUUCUGUAGUUUCUGGCAUGACUGCUUCUCCAGUGAGGUACUCAUCCUUUCCUUUACCGCAAAUGAACAGCAACACAGAUUGUGACCACUGUAAAUAGUUAUGGCCAUUUAAUUUGUGUCCUGUGAUGAGAAUAGGAGAGGAAUCAUUGCCACCAAGGUUUGGAAUUUCAGAUCUGCCCCCUGAUUCUGGUGACGUGACGCUGGAUACUUGUGAUGAUGCCAUUCUGUAUUUUGUCAUGGACCGGAAAGGUAGAAGAACACUUCCCAAGGCACGUGCAGGGACUGGAGUUGAGAAAAAAUAGCCGGAGGACGCCGGAAAAUCUUAUCAGAGGGCCCGCGGAAGCAAAAGAACCCCAAAAGAGGCACGUGCAGGGCUCGGAUUGCACAAACAGGUAGGAAGGGUGGCUGGUCGGCGUCAGGCGAGCCUGGAGGAGGAAGCGCGUCGCCGGAAAGUGGCUCACGUGCCCUCACGCGCCGGCGCGUGAGAUGCAGUCGCCGGCCGGAAAAACGCGCGUGGGCGGCGCGUGGAUGGGUUUCUGGUUCCGGUGCUUUGGGACAAAUUGGAGAUCUCCUCCAGGCGCUCCUUGCGGUGUAGAAAAAAAACCGUCGCCGGAAAGUUCGCCGGAAAAUUUUGCCGACGGUGAGUGUUUUCUGACGACGAUUCGACUGAUCGGAAAGCUUUUUCUCCCUUGGCUCUGAGAACAGGGACUGAUGACCGGAAUGAGAGAGAGAGAGAGAGAGAGAGAGAGAGAGAGAGAGAGAGAGAGAGAGAGAGAGAGAGAGAUGAUCGGAUUGAGAUAUGGCCAGAGAGAUUUGGCCGGAAUGAGUGAUGGCCUGAAUAAGAGGUGGCCAGAAGGGAUUAGGGUUUCAGAAAACUGGCUCUGAUACCAUGAAGAAUUUCUGAACUCCUUUAUUGAUAUUUUAUCGGUACACACCAUACACAUAUAUAUACACAAAUGACUGAAUAAGAAAGAAUCAAUCUAGCUUAAUUCUCUCCUAAAAUUAGGAAACUAAAUCAUAAGGAAAUAUCCUAAAUGAUCUCUCCUUUUUUAUUCCUAAAUUAAAGUCCUAACUUUGACAUUAUUUCAACACAUUGGAAUGCCUUCAAACACUCUCUUGUUAUGGUUGUUCGAAGAUGAAGAGUUUUCCGGAAAUCAAGGGUAAUAUGGGAAGUCUAAGAGAACUUGAUUUAAGUGAAACAGAUAUAAUAGAAGUACCAUCAUCAAUCAGGCAUCUACAUGGGCUUAAAACCUUGAAGUUAAGUGAUUGCUUAAACCUUGUGAGUCUUCAGGUCGGUAUUUGUAGUUUGAGCUCUCUUCAAACUCUUUUGAUGGAUGGGAGUUUAGAACUAAAGGCCUUUCUAGAUAUCAAUAUUGGAAGUCUAAAAGCCCUUGAAUGGUUAGAUUUGUCAUAUUGCGAAAACCUUGAGAGUCUUCCGGAUAGUAUUUGUAGUUUGACCUCUCUUCAAACUCUUUUGCUGAAUGGGUGUUCAAAACUGAAAGCCUUUCCAUACAUCAAUAUUGGAAGCCUCAAAGCUCUUGAAUUGUUAGCUUUGUCAUAUUGCGAAAACCUUGAGAGUCUUCCGGACAGUAUUUGUAAUUUGACAUCUCUUCAAACUCUCAUGUUAAAAGAGUGUUCAAAAUUGAAGGGCUUUCCAGAUAUCAAUAUUGGAAGUCUAAAAGCUCUUAAAUUGUUAGAUUUGUCAUAUUGCGAAAACCUGACAGUAUUUGUAGUUUGACCUCUCUUCAAACUCUUUUGCUGAAUGGGUGUUCAAAAUUGAAGGCUUUUCCGGAUAUUAAUAUUGCAAAUCUAAAAGCUCUUGAAUUGUUAGAUUUUUCAUAUUGUGAAAACUUUGGGAGUCUUCCAGAUAGGAUUUGUAGCUUAACCUCUCUUCAAACUCUUUUGUUGAAAAAGUGUUCAAAAUUGAAGGCCUUUCCAGAUAUCAAUAUUGGAAGUCUAAAAGCUCUUAAAUUGUUAGAUUUGUCAUAUUGCGAAAACCUUAAGAGUCUUCCAGACAGUAUUUGUAGUUUGACCUCUCUUCAAACUCUUUUUUUGAAUGGGUGUUCAAAAUUGAAGGCCUUUCCAGAUAUCAAUAUUGGAAGUCUAAAAGCUCUUGAAUUGUUAGAUUUGUCAUAUUGCAAAAACCUUGAGAGUCUUCCGCAUAGUAUUUGUAGUUUGACCUCUCUCCAAACACUUUUGUUGAAUGGGUGUUCAAAACUGAAGGCCUUUCCAGAUAUCAAUAUUGGAAGUCUAAAAGCUCUUAAAUUGUUAGAUUUGUCUUAUUGCAUAUACCUUGAGAGUCUUCCGCACAGUAUUUGUAGUUUGACCUCUCUUCAAACUCUUUUGUUGAAUGGGUGUUCAAAAUUGAAGGCCUUUCCAUGUAUCAAUAUUGGAAGUCUAAAAGCUCUUAAAUUGUUAAAUUUGUCAUAUUGCGAAAACCUUGAGAGUCUUCCGGAUAGUAUUUGUAAUUUGACCUCUCUUCAAACUCUUUUGCUGAAUGGGUGUUCAAAACUGAAGGCCUUUCCAGAUAUCAAUAUUGGAUGUCUAAAAGCCCUUGAAUUGUUAGACUUCUCAUAUUGCAAAAACCUUGAGAGUCUUCCGCACAGUAUUUGUAGUUUGACCUCUCUUCAAACUCUUUUGCUGAAUGGGUGUUCAAAACUAAAGGCUUUUCCAGAUAUCAAUGUUGGAAGUCUAAAAGUUCUAGAAUUGUUAGAUUUGUCAUAUUGCGAAAGCCUUGAGAGUUUUCCGGACAGUAUUUGUAGUUUGACCUCUCUUCAAACUCUUUGGCUGAAUGGGUGUUCAAAACUGAAGGUCUUUCCAGAUGUCAAUAUUGGAAGUCUAAAAGCUCUUGAAUUGUUAGAUUUGUCAUGUUGUAAAAAGCUUGAGAGUCUUCCGAUGAGCAUUUGCAAUUUGAGCUCUCUCAAAACUCUGCGGAUUAAAGAUUGUCCAAAACUCAAGGGAAUAUUAAAGAUGAACCUAGGGGUUGAUUUAUGCUCCUCGAGAUCUUUGAAUCUGACUUGUCACAUUUCAAAUUCAGGAGUAAUCUGGGAUAAUGACUGCUUUUCCUCAUUAAAAGCAUUAAAUCCAUGGUGCCCCCUGUCAUCACUGGUAGAAUUAUCUGUAAGAAACUCUAAUCUCAUGGAACGAGACAUCCUCAGUGCUAGUUUUCGCUUAUCCUCAAUGCAAAUAUUAUCUCUAAGGAACUUCCCUUUGAUGGUAGGAGGAAUCCUUGAUGACAUUUUCCAUCUAUCUUCAUUGGUAGAAUUAUCUCUUAGUGAAUGCAAUCUGAUGGAAGUAGGAACCCUCCAUUAUGUUUGGAACCUAUCUUCACUGCUAAGAUUAUAUCUAAGAAACUGUAAUCUAAUGGAAGGAGAGAUCCCCAAUCAUAUUUGGCACCUAUCAUCAUUG
rnacentral:lncRNA from 1 species